UCAUAUCUUGUACACAGACAACGUGAACACACAGCGAUAAUGGAAAUGAGACACAGCGAUAAUGGAAAUGAGACACAGCAAUAAUGGAAAUGAGACACAGUUAUCAGGAAGCUCAACAUUUACCUCGGAUAUGUUGCUGCACUUUCUGGAAGUGGUGAAGUCAGGCAGAACUCCAGCUUGGUCUCUGAGUGACUCACGCUGGAGGUUUGAGCAGAAAAUCAUCAGGACUCUGUGAUUAUCCGAGGGAUUUUUUUUGCAGCAUCUGCUCCAUAUCAGCCACGUAACGUUCCACUGCAGAGCUCCAACUCCUCAAACGCGACGCUUCCUUUUGCAAUCUCAGACUCUGCCCCUUCCUGCUUGCUGCCGCUGGACGGUGAAAUACACCACCAAAAGUGCCAUGUUCUAAGUUGUCAACACAUGUAGAUGUAAAUACGAGGAAAUGAAGCUGAAAUCCUGAUCUAUCAUCGCGUAUCCAUCUUUUGAUCUCAAACCCAAACGUCUCCAGUGUAUAUCGAAGACAAACGAAUCGGCCUCGCUGUUCCAAUACUUUCGGAGGGGACUCUAUCUCUGGCAGGUGAAUGCAUUUAUUAAUCAAUAAAUUAUAACACAUUUAAUUAAUACUAUAACAUGUUAAAAAAAAAAAGUUUAUCUAGUAUUUAUUAUUUAAUAGUUUUAUUUUUAACCUUUACUACAUUUUUAACAAUUAAAACAAGUUCUUUACACAUUUAACCCUGAUUAUGUUCACUCAACUGUUCACGACUUAUUAUAUAUUACUUGCCAAAGUAUUCCUCUCUUAACAUUUCAACACACACAUUAUUCUAAUUAGUUUUAUACAGAUUUCAGUCCGGAUGUGCAUCUGACCUUAUAGGCUUUAUAUUUUACAACCUUUCCUCUCUCACGUUUUAAUCAGAAUAAAAACUAGACGUGAACUGAAACAGAAUCCAAACACACUCACUGCAAACACGGUUCAUAAAAGGUACUGACUAGUGUGUGGUAAUGCCAAAGAGAAACAUUUUAUUUAGUAAAAAAUACACACACACACACACACACACACACAAAGAAACAGGUUCAAACGUCACAAAAUUUUAUUUAGAUUGCUAUAUUAUCAUAACUUUUAUUAAACCAUGAAAACACACACACACACACACACUCUCUCUCUCUCUCUCCUGUCCACUUCAUUUUACUGGAUCAACAAGAGGCGGAGCUUAAGUUACAUUUGAU